rnacentral:rRNA from 1 species
CCGGCUAAAAGUCGGAGGAAGGUGGGGAUGACGUCAAAUCAUCACUGCCCCUUAUGACCUGGGCUACACACGUGCUACAAUGGGCGGUACAAAGGGUCGCGAACCCGCGAGGGGGAGCCAAUCCCAAAAAGCCGCUCUCAGUUCGGAUUGCAGGCUGCAACUCGCCUGCAUGAAGCCGGAAUCGCUAGUAAUCGCGGAUCAGCACGCCGCGGUGAAUACGUUCCCGGGCCUU